rnacentral:lncRNA from 1 species
GCAGCGUUGUGUACUUCUGUCGAUUGGUUAUUAUUAUUUUUUUUUUUGUACUUUGGAUUGCUUACUAUUUAAUUUGGAAGUUUUAAAUACUGAGUAUUUAUUUAGCCGCUUCGAUCCCCUCUAUUGCUUCCCCAGCCGCUUCGAUCUCGUCUUUUACUCUCUCCGCCGCUUCGAUCCCGUCGAUUGCUCCCUCUACUGCCCAAAAAAUAGAUCUGGUUCAUGAU